CGAAAGGCCUUUUUUUUUAAUUAAAACUGAUGUUCAUUUGAAGUGUUCCUCUGACGACCCAGAGCAGCGACAUGAAUAAGUUAGUACUCUCUGCUUUGCUAAGCAACACAGACUGCAGAAAGAUAUAUUUGCAUGGCGUGCGAAGCCUCCAGAACCUAUCAAAGGGUAAGAGCAGGAGUACAGUGCAGAGGUGUGGGUGGCUGUUCGCUGUUCAUCCUUCCGUGAGACUAUUGACGAAGGCUUAUCAGAUAGAAAACAAGACCGUGUUUACCAAUAGUCUUGCUUGCCAAGCUCAUGACAAGACAGAUUUCGGAAGACACUAGUUUAGCAACUAUACCAGCCUCCUUGUUUUUUUUUUUUUGGGGGGGGCUGUCUGAGGUAAGUGGAGUGCAGAGUGAUCUGACGUGUCAGAGAAAUUGUCUUAUCAGAUGAAACUGAAGAAUUGCCUCCUUGUGGUCUGAGAUUGUCUGAGACUGCCCGAGGAUGUGCAGAGUCAUCUGACAUGUCAGAGAAGUUAUCUUAUCAGAUGAAACUGAAGAAUGGCAUCGUUGUGGUCUGAGAUUGUCUGAGACUGCCCGAGGAUGUGCAUUGAAUUGGCAGGGAACGCAUGACAGACACGGUUGGGAAAUGCUGGUAAAAUAAAACCAACAGCAUUUUCAGAAACAUCAAGAUCACCAGUGUGCUGGAUUUAUCCAUUAUUUUCUGGGAUUGGGAAGACAUGGCUGCAGAGAUGGAGGCAGAGAGGUUGCAUGGUCCUCGAAUGCAUCGUCUGUGUCUGUGGAGGAAGAACAUACACGGUCUCUCCUGCAGGCUGCUGUGCUGCUGCUGCUCCUGUGUGGGAGGAGAGGACAAAGAACUAAUACCAGGCCAGAGCCAGAGAGGGCAGAGCGGGGAGAGGGACACACAGCUAGAGUGGACUUGUCUUGGGGACGACCAGGGGAUCUCAGGGGAGGGAGAGGCCAGUGCUAUCCACAUCACGGUGGAGGAUCUUGGGCUGGCCAACCCUAGCUUCACCCUGACCAAAGAGGAGGUUGCACCAGUCCAGAUGUUCAGUACUUUUAGUCCAUCUUCCAACUCUGUGUCGGCCGUCCGCAGGGCACUGAAGAAGAAAAGAAUGCUGAAGCCUCUGUCCUCCCUUCCUCUCCAGCUGGGAGGAGACCAGCCGGGAGGAGACCAGCCGGGUGGAAAGCAGACAAAGAGGAGAAGCCCAGCCAGCGAGGAGGAGCCUGGGGCAAACCAGAGGAGAAACAUAACAGGCGAAGGGGAGCAGGAUGAGGCAAUGGAGGAGCAGGAGAAGGAGGUGGAGGUAGCGGAGGAGGAGGACUCAAUUCUGUUUGACACACCUGGAGGCUCAGGUACAGGUAGCCUCCUCACCCCACCUGUCAUCAACCUGAUCCCUCCCACUCCCUCUGACGUCCUCGAUGAAGACCAGUUCUUUGAUGACAUCAUCUCGGACGAGGAGAGCGUGGCGCACACGUCUGGGACUGGUAGUGACGGGAGUAGCAACACCGCCGGACACCGGGAAGAAGAGGAAGAGGAGGAGAGGAUGGAGGAUUUGGACCAGGAGCCUGAAGAGGAGGGGAACAAGAGAGACGCGGAAACCCAGGAGAGGCAAGUGGUGGAUGGGAGUAAAGGGUAUCUGGGAGAAUCAGACCAGGAGGUGCUCCUUCAUGCUCCAGUCCCCGAGAGGGAGGGGGAGGUCAGGGUAAAGGCUGCUGAGGAAAAGGAGAGACCCAAGCCCAGCUUCCUCCGUAGUGCCUACCAGGUGGAUCCUCUACCUGAGUACCCCAGGAAGAGGAGCUUCAACUCGAGCGUCAAUCUGCCGUUGUUCACCGAGCACAACCUGGAUGACUGGAGGAACGCGGACGCCAGUUGCCAUGAGUUACUGAGAGCAGAACUGCGACUGCUUCCUCUCAGCGCCAAGAUGGAGGCCUUUAUCUACCAAAAGAAACCUGGAGUAGCUUGUUCCUGCAGUCUGGGCGUGUCCACCACCGUGACCGUUCCUAGAAGCCACACCUUUCACUCCUUAUCCAAUCAGAGCCCUGACCACGCCCAGGAGGAGGAGGAAGGGUCGCCACGGCAACGGCGCAUCACAGUUGCAUCAUUCAUGCCACAGUCUAAUGACCAGAAUGGAAACUUCCCAGAGAAGAAUUCGGACAGACAGAGGGGUAAACCUCUAGGAGAGUUGAACACAGAAGAAGUCUGCCGGUGGUUCAGCACUAUCGGCCUUCAGAAGAGACUCCAGUUCAUCAGAGAGGCAGAGCUAUGUGGGGCUGAUAUAGCCUCCAUAGACCUCAACACCCUCGAUGUCCUUCACAUCUCCAGCCUGCAGGAGAGAGAGCAGCUUUUGUCAGCCGUCUACAGAGAACUGCACCCACCAUCCACAACCUCACAGAGACUGGACUUACUACUGGAAACCUUGGGUCCUAAUAACGUAGAGAAAUUCACAGCAGCAUUAGUGAAUAUGAGCAAAUCGAAGUCCUCUCCGCAAAUAAGCUGCCUCAACAUUAAUCCAAUGAAUUCCUUCAAGUUCAACCCUAACCCUUUGGUCCAGAGGAACUCUCAGCUGAUGGAGACCACCAUAAACGCGUCGGAGCAGAUUGUGCACCUGCGUACCCCCAGAGAGACCACAGUGGGGAAGGUGAUGGAGUCGUGUUUUACGAUGCUGGGAAUGACUGAUAAUAAGGACCUCUUCAGCCUCACCGACAAACGAGGUUCUUCAGAGGAGCUGAUACCAGACCAACAUAUAACAUAUAACAAAAAGGAGGAGACAUCUAAAAGCGUAAGCGAGGCCCCACCCACUGGUGUUAACGGUUACCGUGACAACGGACAUGUCAGUCAGAACCACCAGAUGCAGCCUGUCAGCUCACGGCCGAUACAGGUGGUCAGCCAGCCAGGUAAAGAGGAAAAGAUCCGGGAGCUCAAACAACAGGUGGACUCUCUACAAAACGUCAUCCUACAGGUGCAGGAGAUCCACCACGGCCUGGUAGCAUUCUGUUCGGAGCUGAAGAGCAUGGAUGUAGAGGUGGACACGUCAGGGCUGAGCUUCCCUGAGCUGGAGCAGCGCCUGGGGCUGGCUAUGGGACUGCUCAGGGACAAGAGACACAGUCUACAGAGCCUCAGAGAGACCAUGAGAGAUACAGGCGCUCACAGGAACAAGCCGUCAGAGGUUUGUCUUCUGGAUACGAUGAAGUUGAACUGUCAGGUGUUUAAAGAAGAGAUCUCCCUGGUUUACCUCAACAGACAGGUGUCACAUCUACAGACAGCUCUACAAGACAGCCUAGUAAAGGCUUGUGGAGGUGAAUGGGGUACUGGUGAUGGGGUACAGUGAAGAGGAGCUGAGCCCCCUACUCCGCCAGGGACCAAGUGCUCGGAUAGUCAUCCUGAGUAGACCUCCUCCUCCUCCUCCUCCCAGCCCAAGAGACAGAAGACCCCUUCCUCUUUGAAGCAACAUCCUCCAUUAGUAUACACCUAGUACCACCAGGCAAUCCCAUCAAGCAUGACAUUGACACCCAAUAGACACCAGGCUGAUCCCAUCUACCAAGAGACUGACACCCUAUUGACCACCAGGCUGAUCCCAUCUACCAUGAGUUUUGACACCCCAUAGACACCAGCACAAUGAGCAUCAGGAACCUGAGGUCUCCACUGAGCCCCUCUCUACUCUACCAGCACAAUGAGCAUCAGGAACCUGAGGUCUCCACUGAGCCCCUCUCUACUCUACCAGC
rnacentral:lncRNA from 1 species